CUUGAGAUUGUUUAUAAGAGAGAUGCCCACCAGAGGCGUAUUAGAUCCCCUUAAAAAUAUAGAUAUACAAAUUUGAUCUCUUCUGCAUUAUCUAUGGCAAAGUCCAUUAAGGUUUAGAAUCCUAUCAGUUAUUAUGAGACCAUGACUAGCAAUAAGUCCGUAUAGUAAUCUAUUGCUAUGAAUGAGGAGAUUGAGUCUCUCUAUAGAAAAUUGAUAUCAAAGCUCAUAAAACUAUCAUAGGCCAGAAGAUUGUUGGGUGCAAAUAGAUCUUCAAGAAGAAAAAAAGAAUCUCAGAUGUUGAAGCAGC
rnacentral:lncRNA from 1 species